rnacentral:misc_RNA from 1 species
AAGUCGUAACAAGGUUUCCGUAGGUGAACCUGCGGAAGGAUCAUUAUUACGAAAUCAAAAAUCGUAACCCCAAACAACAAAUUGUGCAUACUUUUACUGUUCCGGUAGUUUCAUUUGACCUUUGUAAAGGCUUUCUUUGAUGUGCCUGCCUCAAAAACAAGCAUAUUCAAAGCACUUCUGAGCAGAUGAAGUGAAAGGGUCUUUUUUGUCAGAUGAUUCAAACUGCCGGUUAGUAUUAUCUGCUCACAAACUUAACAAACCAUUAACCCCAUGUAACUAUUUUGAACUAAAUACCUCUGACGCAUGCAUCUCUAUGUAUGUGUCUGAAUCAAAACCGAACUUAAGAACAACUCUUAACAACGGAUAUCUUGGUUCUC